UCACCGUCCUUCGCGGCCCCCCUACCUUC
rnacentral:sRNA from 1 species